ACCGGCUAACUCCGUGCCAGCAGCCGCGGUAAUACGGGAGGGUGCGAGCGUUAAUCGGAAUUACUGGGGCGUAAAGCGCAUGCAGGCGGCCUGUUAAGUCAGAUGUGAAAGCCCGGGGGCUUAACCUCGGAAUUGCAUUUGAAACUGGCAGGCUAGAGUCUUGUAGAGGGGGGUAGGAAUUUCAGGUGUAGCGGUGAAAUGCGUAGAGAUCUGAAGGAAUACCAGUGGCGAAGGCGGCCCCCUGGACAAAGACUGACGCUCAGAUGCGAAAGCGUGGGGAGCAAACAGGAUUAGAUACCCUGGUAG
rnacentral:rRNA from 1 species